GACGAACGCUGGCGGCGUGCUUAACACAUGCAAGUCGAACGAUGAAGCCGGAGCUUGCUCUGGUGAAUUAGUGGCGAACGGGCGAGUAACACGUGAGUAACCUGCCCUUGACUCUGGGAUAACUGCGGGAAACUGUAGCUAAUACCGGAUACGACCCUCGGCGGCAUCGCCAGGGGGUGGAAAGAAUUUCGGUCAAGGAUGGACUCGCGGCCUAUCAGCUAGUUGGUGAGGUAACGGCUCACCAAGGCGACGACGGGUAGCCGGCCUGAGAGGGUGACCGGCCACACUGGGACUGAGACACGGCCCAGACUCCUACGGGAGGCAGCAGUGGGGAAUAUUGCACAAUGGGCGCAAGCCUGAUGCAGCAACGCCGCGUGAGGGAUGACGGCCUUCGGGUUGUAAACCUCUUUCAGCACCGGCGAAGCGCAAGUGACGGUAGGUGCAGAAGAAGGACCGGCCAACUACGUGCCAGCAGCCGCAGUAA
rnacentral:rRNA from 1 species